rnacentral:misc_RNA from 1 species
AACCUUAUGGACCUGCGGGCGUAUACCUGCGGAGGGAUCAUUAAAAAGAGUGUGUACCCCUCUGUAAAAUGAGUGGGUUACCUCCCGUCCUUUGUUGACCUCUUAGGAGGUUAUUUUGAACUUUCUGCUUCGGUGGGGUUAAACCUACCGGAACACCCUCAAAUUCUUAUCAUUUAAAAAUUGUUCAGUCUGAUUUUUGUUAAUAAAAACAAAAAACUUUCAACAACGGAUCUCAGAUCG